GGCUAUAUCACGUUGCAACACCGGUUCCCAUACAAUCACUGAAAUUAAGCAACGUUGAGCCUGGUCAGUACGUAGAUGGGCGAGUGUUUGGGAAUACAAGCUGUUGUAA